rnacentral:rRNA from 1 species
UACGUAGGGGGCUAGCGUUGUCCGGAAUCAUUGGGCGUAAAGAGCGCGUAGGCGCCGUUCACGUCGGGUGUGAAAGCUCGGGGCUCAACCCUGAGAGGUCAUUCGAUACGGAUCGGCUAGAGGCAGGUAGGGGAAAGUGGAAUUCCUGGUGUAGCGGUGAAAUGCGCAGAUAUCAGGAGGAACACCGGUGGCGAAGGCGGCUUUCUGGGCCUGUCCUGACGCUGAGGCGCGAAAGCUGGGGGGAGCGAACAGG